rnacentral:rRNA from 1 species
AUUGAACGCUGGCGGCAGGCUUAACACAUGCAAGUCGAGCGGAGAUGAGGUGCUUGCACUUUAUCUUAGCGGCGGACGGGUGAGUAAUGCUUAGGAAUCUGCCAUUUAGUGGGGGACAACAUUCCGAAAGGAAUGCUAAUACCGCAUACGUCCUACGGGAGAAAGCAGGGGAUCUUCGGACCUUGCGCUAAAUGAUGAGCCUAAGUCGGAUUAGCUAGUUGGUGGGGUAAAGGCCUACCAAGGCGACGAUCUGUAGCGGGUCUGAGAGGAUGAUCCGCCACACUGGGACUGAGACACGGCCCAGACUCCUACGGGAGGCAGCAGUGGGGAAUAUUGGACAAUGGGCGGAAGCCUGAUCCAGCCAUGCCGCGUGUGCGAAGAAGGCCUUUUGGUUGUAAAGCACUUUAAGCGAGGAGGAGGCUACUGAGACUAAUACUCUUGGAUAGUGGACGUUACUCGCAGAAUAAGCACCGGCUAACUCUGUGCCAGCCGCCGCUGUAACAC